GACGCUGUAGGAUCGAAUGUUAC
rnacentral:miRNA from 1 species